rnacentral:RNase_P_RNA from 1 species
GAAAGUCCGGGCUUCACAGGGCAGGAUGCCGGAUAACGUCCGGUGGAGGCGACUCCAAGGCAAGUGCAACAGAAAUAAACCGCCAGUCUCGGUGCAGUUUUCUGCACUGAUGUUGGUAAGGGUGGAAAGGCAGUGUAAGAGACUACCGUCCGGCCGGUAACGGUCGGAGCCAUGUAAACCCCAUCCGAAGCAAGACCAAACAGAGAACCAUAAACCGGCCCGGUUUGUUCUCAGGUAGGUCGCUGGAGGCUGUCGGCAACGGCAGUCCGAGAUAGAUGGUCAUUGCCCUGCAUUGCAGGGAACAGAACCCGGCUUAUCGGCCUGCUUAUCAA